GGAUCCAGACUUUGAUUCUGCGCUCAGGAUGAACGCUAGCUACAGGCUUAACACAUGCAAGUCGAGGGGCAGCGGGAUUGAAGCUUGCUUCAAUUGCCGGCGACCGGCGCACGGGUGAGUAACGCGUAUCCAACCUUCCGUACACUCAGGGAUAGCCUUUCGAAAGAAAGAUUAAUACCUGAUGGUAUCUUAAGCACACAUGUAAUUAAGAUUAAAGAUUUAUCGGUGUACGAUGGGGAUGCGUUCCAUUAGGUAGUAGGCGGGGUAACGGCCCACCUAGCCAACGAUGGAUAGGGGUUCUGAGAGGAAGGUCCCCCACAUUGGAACUGAGACACGGUCCAAACUCCUACGGGAGGCAGCAGUGAGGAAUAUUGGUCAAUGGACGAGAGUCUGAACCAGCCAAGUAGCGUGAAGGAUGAAGGUCCUACGGAUUGUAAACUUCUUUUAUAAGGGAAUAAACCCUCCCACGUGUGGGAGCUUGUAUGUACCUUAUGAAUAAGCAUCGGCUAACUCCGUGCCAGCAGCCGCGGUAAUACGGAGGGUGCGAGCGUUAUCCGGAUUUAUUGGGUUUAAAGGGAGCGCAGACGGGUCGUUAAGUCAGCUGUGAAAGUUUGGGGCUCAACCUUAAAAUUGCAGUUGAUACUGGCGUCCUUGAGUGCGGUUGAGGUGUGCGGAAUUCGUGGUGUAGCGGUGAAAUGCUUAGAUAUCACGAAGAACUCCGAUUGCGAAGGCAGCACACUAAUCCGUAACUGACGUUCAUGCUCGAAAGUGUGGGUAUCAAACAGGAUUAGAUACCCUGGUAGUCCACACGGUAAACGAUGGAUACUCGCUGUUGGCGAUAUACUGUCAGCGGCUUAGCGAAAGCGUUAAGUAUCCCACCUGGGGAGUACGCCGGCAACGGUGCAACUCAAAUGAAUUGACGG
rnacentral:rRNA from 1 species